UACGUAGGGGGCAAGCGUUGUCCGGAAUCACUGGGCGUAAAGCGUGCGUAGGCGGUUUUUUGGGUCUGGGGUGAAAGUUCAGGGCUCAACCUUGAGAAUGCCUUGGAAACUAGAAGACUUGAGUACUGGAGAGGCAAGGGGAAUUCCACGUGUAGCGGUGAAAUGCGUAGAGAUGUGGAGGAAUACCAGUGGCGAAGGCGCCUUGCUGGACAGUGACUGACGCUGAGGCACGAAAGCGUGGGGAGCAAACAGGAUUAGAUACCCUGGUAGUCCACGCCGUAAACGAUGAGUGCUAGGUGUUGGGGGGUCAUACUCUCAGUGCCGAAGGAAACCCAAUAAGCACUCCGCCUGGGGAGUACGGUCGCAAGACUGAAACUCAAAGGAAUUGACGGGGGCCCGCACAAGCAGUGGAGCAUGUGGUUUAAUUCGAAGCAACGCGAAGAACCUUACCAGGGCUUGACAUCCCUCUGACCGGUUCAGAGAUGGACCUUCCCUUCGGGGCAGAGGAGACAGGUGGUGCAUGGUUGUCGUCAGCUCGUGUCGUGAGAUGUUGGGUUAAGUCCCGCAACGAGCGCAACCCUUGAUCUGUGUUACCAGCACGUGAUGGUGGGGACUCACAGGUGACUGCCGGCGUAAGUCGGAGGAGGGUGGGGAUGACGUCAAAUCAUCAUGCCCUUUAUGUCCUGGGCGACACACGUGCUACAAUGGGCGGUACAACGGGAAGCGAGACCGCGAGGUGGAGCGAAACCCAAAAGCCGUUCGUAGUUCGGAUUGCAGGCUGCAACCCGCCUGCAUGAAGCCGGAAUUGCUAGUAAUCGCGGAUCAGCAUGCCGCGGUGAAUCCGUUCCCGGGCCU
rnacentral:rRNA from 1 species